CAUACGCCACCAUCCGUCUCUCGAUCCACCCGAUGCGGCCGCCCUAUCUCCCUCGUCUAGCGAUGUAGCGCCGCCCCAAUCUCCUCGCUCCGCUGCCGCCGCCCCAAUCUCCCCGCUCCGCCCCCGCCGCCCCACGCCUUCCACUAUCACUCGCUCAGCCACCUCCACCCUCCUCUACAUCGCAGGAGGAAAGCGCUCGAGCAGGUGAGGAGGGAGUCGGUGCGGCAGGGCGCGGCGCUGGACGAGCUGAGGCGGCGGCUCGAGCGGCGGCGGGCGCGUGCGGACGAGCUCCUCGUCGCCAGGCAGAGGGCCGAUGAGGGCGUCGAGUGCCGCAAGGAGCAGAUGCAGGCGCAGAUCGAGCGGGUGCUGUCGCUCUCCAGGGCCCUCGCCGCCGCGCACCGGCAAGUGCAGGGGCGGCUAGCUUUGUUGAUGCAUAUGCCGACAUGAUAAACAAGAUAUGCAUGCAUAUUUUUAAUUUUAUUUGGAGAUAAGAUAAAUAUGCGAUACUAAUUGCUAAGUCGAGGAAGCAUGUGAUUUCGAUGUUGAUACUGAUUCUCAAGAAGGUGUGUAGGUUCUCCUUGAUACUGUUUUUUUCCUACAUUGUCGCAUGCUUGAAAAACAAUCCUUGCGUUUAGCCAAUAGUGUGUAGGUUCUCCUCGAUACUGAUUCUCAUACUUGCAGUGUUGGAUACUUUGCUUAACUCGAAACUGGAACAUGAAACACUGAUGCAGGUUUCAUGAUGGAACUAGAGGCCCUUCUGAAGGUAUGAGAACAUCUACAAACCAAUAUUGUGCAAUAGUAUAUACUCGUUGAUGUGUUGGGGAUGAUGAGAUUUUUGUAACCAACAGUCUCUGAGCUAACAUCGAAACAUAAGAUGUAUACUCACGCUGGACCAUUAAAAAAUAUUAGAUUUCCCUACAUUUCUGUCAUCGAGCAUCAGAACUACUAUUUCAAAUUCAUUGGCAUUUGGUGCUAUGUUCUGCACCAUAUCAUAACUAUUUCCCUAUGUUCUGCAUUUGAAAACUAUAUAAAGCCAAAUAACUAUGAACACACCCUUGGAAUAAAUGUGAAAGGAGAAUUUGCGGUCUUACUGGAAAAAAAUGAAACAUUAGCUAGGAUUUGUUGGUUAGAUUCAUGUUGCUCCAUCCAUUUACUAUCAGUUCCUUCCAUAUAUUGCUUCCAUCAGAACAUGUUGACCUGAUUGUCCAUGGUUACACUCAUCUUCAAAUGGCACAACAUGUUUUGCUGCCACAUCUUCUCUUACCAUAUGAUGAAUAGGUACUAUGUUCCAUCCCUCUCUUAUUUCACACUGCAUUAACAAUGUUUUUUCAGUGUGUCGAUUUGCCUAACUAUGCCUUAUUGAUUACUGAUUUUGUUACUAAUGUGUACACAAACCCUGCCUAAUUAAUUUAGUCCACUAUAUCUAACCAUAUGAAGUGUGAAAGUUGAUUCUGACUACUUGCCUGGUGGUGUGGUACAUUACCUCUUUUUUUAAAUUAUGAGAGCGGAACGACAACAUUGGCGUGGACGACUCGGGGCUCAACCCCGUCAAGGGUCGCGAGCAGGAGCGGCUUUCUUUUCCUCACAAAGAUGACCAAGGUCCAAGGGCGCCGUCGACCACUUUGUCAUUGUCGUCGAAGAGUCCAAGCUUGUCCCCGCAUCGGUUGCAUUGGUGCCGAUCAGGUCCAGGUCUGCGCGGUUGGGGCGUCAAUCACAUGUUUUUCCAUUGAUUGCUACAGAUUUUGAGAGAACACUAUUGUCCACGUUAUAUCGUAUACUUCCAAAUUAUAAAGCGUUCUUGUUAUAUUGUAUGCAGCAAAUCGCUUCCUUUAUGAUCUGAUUAAAAUCGCCGGAUUUAACAUGACGCAUGCAAGGAUAUACUAAAACUAUCACACCAAAGGCGAGGAUCCUUGAUCUCCACCAUAGCGAUGAAGCGAGUGUCGGAGUCGCCGUCUUCGCCAAGGAUAGUCACAAUGACGGAAAGGUCCAGGUCUGCGCGGUUGGGGCGUCAAUCACGUGUUCAACGGCAUGUCAGAGCAACUCUCUGGCCAGAGCCCUGACUAUGUGCGCUUCAGAGUCUGGCCACAGCGCCUGUUCACAUAAAUCAUCAUAUUGGCAGCCGGGAAUAUUUGGAAACAAAGAAAUAGAUGCUACUUUGAGGGUACGAAGCCUUCUGUUCAGGACUGGCUCAGGAUGUUCAAAGAACUUUUAGGUGGGUGUGGAUGGAGAAUGUUGGAAGACAUUAAAAGGUAGGAUGAUGGGAAUGCCUAUGGCAAUUUGGCAAACUUGGAGAAAACAGAUGCAAUUUUGAGUUAAUGUAGAGCUGAAGGCAAGUUGCUCGUAUUCAUCUGUUUGGCCAGGAGUUAGGGAUGAUGGGACUCAACAAUUAAAUAGAUUUGGAGUGAACACAGAUUUGGAGUAGGGUGACAACAUAGGAAAGUUUUAUUUUUGAGACAAACAUAGGAAAGUAAUAACAUAAUGUUCGAAGAGAUGAGUUUAGGGGCUCGUGAUAGAUUCAUUUGUUGCCCGUGGCAACGCACGUGCGUUUUACUAGUUAGAUUAGUUUAGGGAUGCU